rnacentral:lncRNA from 1 species
GAUUCCAUUCCAUUAUACACAAAACCAACCAACUACACCAAAAAAGACAAAAACAAAACCAACAAACAUAGCCCUUUCUUGUUUAACUGCAUUUUGUUCAAUGUUUUAAGCUCUAGAAGGGGAAUCUUUGAGUUAAUCAGGUAGGACCCUCAUUUUGCAAAUGAGAGACAUGAGGCACAAGUAGGUCAAUGACUUAUUGAGGUACUUGGAGAGCGAGGCAGUGUCCUCUGCCCAUCGCAGCUGGCCAGGCCUUGCAGGAGGAGACACACCCAAAAGAAAUGUAGAGGCCAGUUCUACCACAUUCAUUUCACGCCCUGGGGCUCGCACCCUUAAAAAGCAUUCAUUGCAGAACAGAGAAGUACAUUUUGAACAGGAGUAGAGUAGUUAAACAUGUACCAAUGUGCACAUUAAAAAGCAAAAUAAAAUGCAGCAUUGUCAGAGUCCUCAUGGAAACUAGAACUCUCUUUAACCAAAACUACUUUUUAGUCAUUCAGUAUCACAUAUCUUUUAUGUUGCUUACGGUAAACGUCAGGUAAAUCAUGAUAUUUAUGCUUUAAUUUUAUUUACCAAAAAUAUUUUUUUCCUUAUGGGAUUUAAAAGCACAUAUUCUUAGCUUGUGCACAAUAGCUCAUGCCUGUAAUCCCAGAACUUUGGGAGACAGAGCUGGGAGGAUCACUUGAACCCAGGAGUUCAAGAUAGCCUGGGCAACAUAGGGAAACCCCAUAUCUACACAAAAUUUUUAAAAUAAAUUAGCUGGGUGUGGUGGCUCACGCCUGUAAUCCCAGC